GGAUGUGAGGGUGAUCUGGCUGCGACAUCUGUCACCCCAUUGAUCGCCAGGGUUGAUUCGGCUGAUCUGGCCGGCUAGGCGGUGUUCCCUUCCUCCCUCACCGCUCCAUGUGCGUCCCUCCCGAAGCUGCACGCUCGGUUGAAGAGGAUGACCUUCCCCGAUAGAAUAUAUAUCCAUCAAGGGUAUAUGAGUAGCUGCGCUCCCCUGCUAGAAUCUCCAAACAAGUCUCAAGAUAAGUGUUCCAGGUAAUUUGCUUGAAUCUGAAGAUAUUACAGAGAUAUAAUCAUGGUCUAUUUUAUUUAUACUAUCUGUU
rnacentral:snRNA from 1 species